CUCUGUGUAAGCAAAAGCGUGAGUCCCUAGUUUUUCAGUUUUGUGAGCGUGUGCGUGUGUUGUUAGGUACAGAUAUGGAGGCUGCAGCGAGAGAACACGUUGAAGAGAUACGUAGAAAAAAGUUCUCCAUUGGAGGGGAACAGAACCCAUUAACUGAGGAUCUUCAUCAAGCUGUCAAGAACCUCUCUGCUGAGCUUUAUGCCAAGGAUGUACAUUUUCUCAUGGAACUCAUUCAGAAUGCUGAAGAUAAUGAUUACUUGGAGGGAGUGGAUCCAUCUCUUGAGUUUGUCAUAACUUCUGAGGACAUUACAAACGCAGCGGCCCCAGCAACAUUGCUGAUUUUCAACAAUGAGAAAGGUUUCUCAUCGAAAAACAUUGACUCUAUUUGCAGUGUUGGUCGGUCCACCAAGAAAGGCAACAGGAAACGUGGUUAUAUUGGAGAGAAAGGAAUUGGAUUUAAGAGUGUCUUUCUGGUUAGUUCUCAGCCAUACAUAUUCAGCAAUGGAUAUCAAAUACGAUUCAAUGAAGAGCCUUGCCCACAUUGCAAUCUCGGGUACAUAGUUCCUGAAUGGGUCGAGGAGAACCCAACACUAUCUGACAUCAAAAAAAUAUAUGGUUCUGGGACUACUCUACCAACAACAACAAUAGUCUUACCUCUGAAGUUCGAUAAGGUCAAACCUGUGAAGCAGCAGCUCUCAAAUGUUCAUCCUGAAGUCCUAUUGUUCCUAUCAAAGAUUAGGCGGCUUUCAGUCAGGGAACAUAACAACGAUCCCAGGCUCAAUACUGUAAGUGCAAUAGCAAUUACAAGUGAGACUGAAUUGGUGGUGAAGAAGAACAUUGAUGCUGUGUCCUACACAAUCCAUCUCUCUGCUGAUGAAAAGGGUAAGGAGUCUGAGGGAGAAUGCAGGUACUUUAUGUGGAGGCAAAAGUUUCCUGUCAGGCAGGAAAACAAAGUGGAAAGGAGAACGGAAGUUGAAGAGUUGGUGAUCACAUUGGCUUUUCCUUUUGAAGAGCGCCUCCAUAGGGGAAUGAGCUCACCUGGGAUCUAUGCAUUUCUUCCCACAGAGAUGUUUACCAACUUUCCCUUCAUAAUUCAGGCAGAUUUUCUUCUUGCCUCAUCAAGGGAAACAAUUCUCUUAGACAACAAGUGGAACCAGGGGAUUCUUGACUGCGUGCCCUCUGCUUUUAUCAAUGCGUUUGUUUCACUAGUUAAAAAUACUGAAAAUGCUCCAGUGUCUAGUUUAGCUUCCAUGUUCAGGUUCAUUCCCAUCGACAGCUCAUCUUAUCAAACGUUGAAUGUUGUCAGGGAGUCGAUCAAAUCAAAGCUUCUUGAAGAAAGUAUUCUUCCAAGUGAGUCUUAGACACCGCAGAAGAUCUUUCAUAAACCUCAUGAAGUUGGUAGGCUUAUGCCUGCUUUCUGGACCAUUCUGGAGAAGGCAAGGGAGCAAAAGGUGAGUUUGUUUCAUCUUUCAUCACAUGGAAAGUACAUUUUGAGCUCCUCAUUUGAUAGAGCAGAAUAUGAUUACAUAUUGAAUUUCUUGGGUGUGGAACUAGUCAACAACGAAUGGUAUGCAAAGUGCAUCCAAAGUUCUAAACUUGUUGAAGGAGUGUCAGAGGACGUGUACUUGGAGCUUUUGCUAUUUGUUGCAGAUAACUGGAAGUCCAAAUUUGACUCUACCGACAUAAAGUACAUACAGCUAAUAAAAUAUGUGGGUCUUUAUGGCGAUGUGUCUUUGUGUAGCAUAAAUGAAUCCAUGCAUUUCAAUCGUGACAGAGUGGUGUCCUUAUCCCGUCAUCCUGAUCAUAUCUCAUGGCUGAUUGAUUGGAACAGGGAAUUCAUAUGUCCAGCCAAUUACUUUUUUUGGCCGAAAAGCACACAAGUAGCUAUUCAGUUCUUCUCUAAGAGGGAGACGGUGUUGGAGUGGCUACGAGAUCAUGUGAAGGUUGGUGCUAUGAGCGUCUAUGAAUAUGCAGUUCAUCUUAACAAUCAUCUCAAUAGUUGCCAGAAGCGUGCUAUUGCCUUUGUUCACUUCUUGUACCACUCGCUUCAAAAGUCUUUUCUUUCCCAUCAGGAGGUUGGUGAUUUAUGUGAUUCUAUGCCACUUGUGGAUAACUAUGGAAAUUUACGGAGACACAGGACAAGGGUUCUUGUCCCUGCCAACGGAAGCAAAUGGGUGGGAUUGAUUGGUUCAAAUCCAUGGACAAAUGAAGGCUACGUUGAGUUAGCAGAAGACUACUUGCUACCAGGCUAUUUUGCCGGUGAAUAUGCCUCUGGAGAAAGACUCUUGGAGUUCCUUAAAACUCAUGUUGUAGCGUCUGAUAUCCCUUACAUAUCUCCUCCUAAUGCUGCAAUUCCUACUGUAUCAUCACCACUCACCAAGCAAAAUGCAUUCUUGCUGUUGGAUUGGAUUCGGAAUCUGAAACGUAGAGAAAUUUACAUUCCUGAGAAGUUCUUGAAAUGCAUAAAGGAAGGUAGCUGGCUGAAAAUUACUACCAGUGGAUGUCCUGGUUACCGGCCACCUUCACAGUCAUUCAUGCUUUCCUCUUCAUUGGGAAACAUUUUGCAGAGUGGAUCCGUUCUUGUUGAUAUUCCAUUGCUUGAUCUAAGUUUUUAUGGUGAUGAAUUAAAUGAGUACAAGGAGGAGCUGAAGAAACUUGGAGUCAUGUCUGAGUAUGGUGAAGCAUGUGAAUUUAUUGGAAAGCAUCUUAUGUCUUUCACAGAGUACUCCACUUUAAGUAGAGACCAAGUGCUGUCUGUACUAAAUUUCAUCAGAUUUUUGAGGGAAAAGUUUCUCCCUCAGGAUGAGUUCAUCAACAGUAUCAAGGAUAAGAGAUGGAUAAGGACAUGCUGUGGUGACAGGUCUCCAGUUGAAGCUGUUUUGUUUGAUGAGGAAUGGAAAAGUGCAUUACAAAUCAGUUGCAUCCCCUUUAUUGAUCUAGAUUACUUUGGAGAGGAAAUCCUUUCUUUUAGAGAGGAACUCAAGUCACUUGGUGUUGUAAUUGGCUUCGGUGAUUGUUAUAAGCUUGUUGUAGACAACUUAAAAUCUCCUUUAAGCUCAUCUCUGACAGCUGAGGCAGUUCUUUUGAUACUGGAAUGUAUGCGACGUCUAGGAUCAUCCGACAAACUUGUUCAGGCGUUGAGAGGUGUGAAAUGCUUUAAGACGAAUCUUGGGUACAAACCUCCGGGAGAAUGUUUCUUGGUUGACCCUCAAUGGGUUUGCAUUCUUCAUGUUUUUGAAGGUUUUGCAUUGAUUGAUCAUGAUUUCCAUGGAAGCUGUAUCUUCUCUUACAGAAAUGAGUUGAAGCAAACUGGGGUGAAGGUGGAUUUUGAGGAGGCGGUAAAAGAAUUUUCUGACAAAUUCAAGCUGGAGGCAUCCUUCAUGACUAAAGAAAUUGUUCUCUCUUUUCUUUCAUGUCAGAGACAGCUAAAAGAUAGUCCUUUUGUGUUUCCUCCAGAUCUUGAGAAAAACAUCCGUGACCUUAAGUGGUUGCAGACUAGGUGUGGUGAUAGAAGAUCUCCAAGAGAUUGCAUUCUUUUUGGGCCAGAUUGGCAUUCAGUUUUACCAAUUACUAUUGACCUCCCUUUCUUAGAUGAUAGUGACAAUUACUAUGGCAAGGACAUUCAUUUAUACAAGGAAGAGCUGAAGAGCAUGGGAGUUGCUGUUGAAUUUAAAGAUGGUGUGAAGUUUGUUGCAGCUGGUCUUCACUUUCCCUUGGAUCCUGCUCAGAUAACUGAUGAAAAUGUGUUUUCAUUGCUGCAAUGCAUACGUGUUUUAAUCCAAGGAGUGAAUUACUCCUUUCCAGAUCCAUUCUUAAAACAAAAUUCUCGGAAAUGGUUGAAGACCACUAAAGGUUAUAGACCUCCAGAAAAAUGCUUAUUGUUCGAUCCUAGAUGGGGCUCUUAUUUGGAGCGGACAGAUGGACCUUUUAUUGAUGAAGAUUUUUAUGGUUCUAAUAUUACACUGUACAAAGAAGAACUCAAGGCAAUAGGAGUCACCCUUGAUGUUGAAGACGGAUGCUCAUUGAUUGCCAGGCACCUCGAACUCCAUUUCCAAUACCCUACUAUAGUUCGAAUAUAUAAUUACUUGAGUCUAUGUAAUUGGGAGAAUGACAGUGAACUUACAAAAGGGAUAUGGAUCCCAUAUGGAAAUAAGAAUGGAGAGUGGGUCAGCCCCUGUGAAUGCGUUCUGCACGACAAGGAUGGUCUCUUCAGUUCGCAGCUGAAAGUUCUUGACAAAUAUUAUGAGCAAAAGUUACUCAACUUCUUCUCACAUGCUUUCCGUGUUAAAUGCAAUCCUUCGGUUGCUGAUUACUGUAAGCUUUGGGAGGUUUGGGAAAGAUCAGGACGUCGAUUGUCACAUGAUGACUGUCUUAAGUUCUGGGGGUAUAUUUUGAAGCACUGGGGUGAAAAGACUGAGAAAACUGUCACUGAGAAGCUGGUGAAAUUGCCGGUUGCUUCUGGCUCGGAUGAAGUUUUGCUGUUCAACAAGCGUGAUGUUUUUAUUGCUGAUGAUCUUCAACUGAAAGAUCUUUUCGAACGGUUUUCUGCUCAAUCUCUAUUUGUCUGGUACCCUCAGCCAAGCAAGCCUUCUUUACCUCAGAUGAAGUUGUUUGAUAUUUACAGGAAGAUUGGUGUUCGCACUAUAUCCGAGUCUGUAGAGAAGGAAGAAUCAUACGCAGUGGAUGUUGCUCAACUCAAUCAGGUGAAUCCAAAGGAGAAUUUGAUUACAAAAUAUCUGGUUACACUCAUCCUUGGUUUUCUAGCAAAUCCUGUGAUGAAAAUGGAAGCUGAAAGGAGGCAUGAAAUAAUCAGAGGGCUUCUGAAUAUUACUUUCCUUGAGAUAGUUGAACCGAUAAGCGUAAAGUACAGUUUAUCACUUUCUUCAGGGGAGAUCGUGAAUGCAAGAACAAGCCGAAUGAUACGCUGGGAUAGAGAGUCUUCAAAGUUUUUCACACAGAAGUUGGACAGGUAUAGUGGAUAUGAGAAUCAAAUUGAAUAUGCUACAUAUUUUUCUGAAGCAAUAUCUGAGGGUGUGUUAUGGGAGAACUGCGAUCAUAUUGGUGCACUCUCUGAACUGAUCAAGCUGGCCUUCGUGCUGGAAUUUGAUGAGAAAGCAGUUAGGUUUUUAAUGAAGUCCAAGAAUAUGCAAAUAUACUUGGAGGAUGAGGAGUUCAUUGCAUCUGUCUUUCCUUCUGACUGGUUAGAUAUAUACCAUGGACUGUUAAUAUUUGUAAGUGUUUCUUUCAUAUUUCUUUUAUGUUUCUUUGUGUUUUUCGCGUAAAUGUCAAAACUCAAAAGAAUGAAUCAGUUGCUGCUAUUGUGAUUUUAAUGGUCAUUCAUGUGGUGUUAACCUUAUAUUGUUUUGUCCUAGAUUUUCCUUUGUAUUUCUAUCUUGGGGGUGAUACUCUUGUAAUUCUGAACUAAAUGGUAAUGUUUGGCAUUGGCAUGUAUAUAUAUUUUUGGGCCUUAAGUUUCGGCUUUUUGGAUUUUGUUGAGCGGUGGACCAAAACAUGGUCUUUGACAUAUAUGGCCUUUUAAUAAUUUUAAGUAUAUUAUCAUACUUUUAAUAUUUCCAAGUUAAUUUUGUUCUUUAUUUUUCUUUUAAGUAAUUAAAUGACUUGUUGUGGCAUCUCAGAUUGUAUGGAUUUGCUGAAUGUAUAUUGUGUUAUAUACAUGAUUAAGAGGAGUUCUUAUUUGUAAUGU